AACAUAUCAACAGCAUUCCAUAGUUUUACUUAUAAUUCCUCCAAAGAUUUCGAAAUACACGCUUCUCUUGAGGUCGAAUGCCAUAAAAUUAUAUUCUAUCUACAAUCAUAGCCCUACAUUCUUCUCUUUCUAAUAACAACUAUAUAUAUGUUUCUUGGAAAAAAUGAUCAGUUGGGACCCCAACAGCUCAAGUACAUAACUUUCCUCAAAGAUUCUUCAGAUUGUUUUGCCUUGUCGCUCCUUGCAAUCAGUGAGGAAGAAGAAGUAGAAAGCUUCUUAGCUUGAGAGUAAGAUCUCAUGUUAUUCUUUGCGUGCUGAGCAAAGGACCUCAAAGGGUAAUUCCAUCUACAGAAACCUUGAUCUUUUAAAGCUUCCACUGCUUCAACACUGGCUGCUACUAUCCACGCUUUCCUGUUUGAACUCAUGAUUUCUAAAUAUAUCGUACCUUUCUUAAUUUUCUGUUUUGUUUUUGAUAGAUGAAUAUUGCUUUUGUUUCUCUGGUAUUCUGAUACAAGUUGAUUUGAUGAUUUUGAAGAUGAUGCUAAGAGUUUGAAGCUAAGGCUGAAUUUAUAGGCACUGAAAAGAAGUGGUGGUAUUGAUAGAAAAGGACUUUUUGGAGUUUCUAAAAGCGAUAAACCAGUGGCUGUUUGACGAACUGUGUGCUCUUUACAGCUGCAGCAAGUGGUUUUCUAGUUAUUUUAUGGGAAAUCAUUUACGUACUGAUUUUUUCUUUGUUUAUCAGAGGAAGUAGUUAGACGGUUGGACUCUAACGUACAGGGGUGGUUAUGCUGAGAAAACGGUAAUUAGUAAUGCAGUGAUUGUAAAAAUUUAGUAAUGUAAGGAUGACACAAUAUAGAAAUUAUUUUUGUUAAAUAAUUAGUGAUAUAUUUUAUAUUAGCAUACUAUCUAUAAGUUUACAGAAGUUUAGGAGCUUGGAACCUCUAUGGUUUACAAAUUCAUUUUACUUGUACGGAGACCCUACAACAUUCAAAUAAAUUAUACACCAGCCUUCCAAUUUGACAUAUUUUAGCUCAAAGUGAGUACUCAUAUUUGAUGCUUAUGUUAACUUACAUUAAUUAUUAUAUAUGAUUAAAUAAUAAACUGAGUUAGGAGUGUGUAUUAUGUGUAAUAAAUAAGUAAUAGUAAACGGUAUUCCAAGGAGGAAAUUGGACACGUUUUGUUGUUUACCAGAAAAACGGUACAAUUCAAUUAUAUCGUAGUUUAUAGACACGUGGGUUAGAUUAAUCCGAUAAAAUAAAGUAAUAAAGAGCAAAGCAAAUAAAAUAAGAAUAAUUGAAGAAAAGACAAGCAUGAACUUCAGAUUGUACACACCGGGUUCAAGAAUAAUUGAAAAACCUCGAUAACACUAGUAUAAAGCUUGAGAAAAGAAUGUUAGUCUUUUGCUAUCAAUAUUUCUUGAUGUCUCACAAUUGAAUGAAAGCCUCUAUUUAUGCUAGAACUAUAAGGUAUAUGGUUACAACUUAUGCCCCCUUAAUUACUACAAUUAAUGUUAUAAUAAGAGGUAAUUAAAGGUAAUAAAGCAUAAUAAAAGCUAAUAAAGGCCGGUGAAAUCUCGGGGUCUUUUGUAAUAUUUCUAUAACGGUCAUAUCUUGAAUUGCUUCUUAUUCGGCCACAGGUUUGCAUCUGGUUUCACCAUGGUUGACUAGUCAUUAUUGACAUGUGUCGCUUCAUCAUUCAUCCAACUCAUGAGACCGAUUUUUAUCGUAUACAGAUAGUCCCCACCACUUUUCGGUUACUCAUUGUGCCCUCGUCAUUGCCUCAUUAAAAGUCUUAUCGGAAAAAUCCAAUCGGGAUAAAAGCCGGAGGAAGGAAUAAAGAGUGCAGAACUUAGGGAUUCAGAUGAUAAUUUUUCCACUUAUUAUUCUUUCUUCAAUGACCGGUUGGAGCUGAAGAAGUAUCGUUAUCACAGAAAACUUGAUCUCGGAUUUUUAGUGUCCACCCACAAGUUUUCUUUGAGUUUUAUCUCUUCGAUUUUUAGUUGUACCUCUUUGAUUGUUGACUCUUGGGUUUUUAUUUGUACCCAAAAAAUUUUCUUUGAGUUUUUGACUCUGAGAUUUUUAGUAGUACCCGAAAACUUUUGUAAUCUCUCAGCCAUCGAGACCGGUGAUGUUAAUGACUAGGAAUUUUAUACUUUUGAUUUUGAUAAAGUCCGGGAAUUGAAUGCAUCGGGUUAACUUUACGAUGGGAAAACAAGGCAUCCGACCUUUUGCCAUUUAAUUUGAUACCGUUAUAAGAGAGGGUCCUUAUAUUUACGGUGCUUAUGAAGAGGACGUCUCAUGUUCAUCAGGGAACAAUUGUUCGGAUUUGUAAUCAUUUUUUACUUCUAAGUGUGAGAAAAUAUUAAGAAUGAUUUUGUUCAUUCAAAGAUAUACAAGAAUAUUUUUAGAAAGUGUAAGUUUUGCUUCAUUCCAUUCCUUGAACGUACACAGAUGUUUAUAACUUUGCAUAUAGGAUAGUUUACAGGAUAUAAAAAAAAUACCUUUCAAGAGAAUGGUGACGAGGCUAACAUUUAUUGGGUCUAGUAGUUCUUGAUUCUAAUUCCUUCUAUUUCUUUCCAGACUAAUCUAGCAGUGCUCAGUCCUUUAUCUGGCAGUCCCCAGUCCUUUUCUUUAUUCCGGAGCCAGUUCGGGCUAUCUCCGGCAUCUUGUACAGAUUGUUCUGGAGCCAUCUUCAGAUGCUUCCGGUACUUAUUGUUGCGGUUUGUGCUGCUCUAAUGCAACAGUCCCAAGCAUUCAUAGAAAUUAUUGUCUUUCAUCGAAGUUAUUUUCCGGCGACUCGCCUAGGGUACGCCCCUGCCUCAUGUCAGUCAUUAAAAUCCUGAUGGGUCUGGUUCAAACCGGUAUCUGGAAUGCCUCCAAUCAAAGUUCAAUUGACUUUGAUUCCGGGCUGUAGAAGAUGUUGAUUUACUUAUUUGAUUGUCUUCUUCACGAAUCUUUGACUCGUAUCAGUUAUGAACAUCUUCCCAUGUGCUUGAAAUUCCAACAAACUCCCAUUCAGCUUCCUUAAGGCAUCGGAACUUUUGGGAUUAAGACCAUUGGUAAAUGUUUCCGCUGCCUAUUCAUCCGGUACAGCCGUUAACAACAUUCUCUCUUUUUAGAAUUGGAUCACAAACUCUCGUAGAAUCCCCAAGUAUCAUUGAGCGAUUCUAGAGCAUUUUAGGAUCUAGGCAUGAAGUCUGCAAGCAUGUCAUGUUAUUUAAGUCCGCAUUAUUAGAAUUGAAAAGAAAAAAGAUAACAAAAAUAGCAAAAUUAGAAUAAAGAAAAGAGACAUCUAGAGACGAUGAAAUAUUGAUUCCAUUUCAUUGAAUUGAAUAUAUGAGGGUUUACGUCAAAAUCAAAAGACAAUAAAGUAAAAACAUUCGAGUUACACCUUAAAAUAACUCGUAAUGUAGAACAGAUGGCAAGACUGAACUACCGGGACUCCUGUCUGACAGGGAAUGGGGUAGCUUUCCAACUCUGAAACUUGAAAUCCGGCCCCAUAUAAUGCACUUCGGCGUUGCUCGUGCCUUUGCCUGGCUGGACCAUGUGGGACUCAUAUAGCAUUUGUUUCAAGGCUUCACAAGUAUCAUCGAUUUCUUCAGCCAUGAAGACCUCUUCUUCUUCUUCCACAUAUUUUGGUUUGACAAAUAAUUGGGCGAGAUGUGGAAUGGGCUGGGACAGGACCCACCCUUUUCCUUUGCGCUUAUCAUCCCAUUUUCUAUCGGCCUCUGUAGCUCAGAAAGCCAUACCGAAAAACUUCUCGCUGGCGAUUAAAGUAAUAGGCUCUGUGAUGCCCUGCAUAGAUAUCCCAAGCCCCUUUCUGGGCUUGUACCCAUGUCUAAUCAUUUGAGUGGCGACCAUGACCGAAGCAUUAGACAAGCAAGGUUGAGUUAGUGGGGCCCCUUUUUCACAUUGAUUGGCGACCAUAAUUUCGAAGGCUUGGUAUAUAAUAUGCCCGCUGCCUUCCCUACCUUCAAGACACGGGACUGAAAGGUCCCAGUAGAUGGAUUUCUCAUCCUCUCCAUAGACAACAAUUUCUUGAUUUUCAUAUUCAAACUUAACCAUUUGGUGAAGAGUGGAGGGAACAGCUCCAGCAGCAUGAAUCCAUGGUCUACCCAGGAAGAAAUUGUAUGAGGUUUUCAUGUCCAAAACCUGGAAAGUCACCUCAAAAUCCACAGGGCCAAUAGUCAGAAUCAUAUCAAUUUCCUCUAUUAUGUCUCGCUUGACCCCAUUUAAAGCUCUCACACAGACGUUGUUAGCCCGGACUCUUUCUGUUCUAAUCUCUAUUCGCUAGAGUGUUGAGAGAGGGCAAAUAUCAACCCCGAAACCACCAUCUAGCAUCACUCUCUUCACAUAAUAGCCCUCGCAUUUGACAGUCAAAUGGAGGGCUUUGUUGUGGGCGGCUCUCUCUGGGGCAAAUCAUCGCGGCUGAAGGAAAUCCUAUUGACCUCAAAGAAUCUUUCUACCAUUCUCUCCAAUUGUUCAACAGAAGUAUCAAUCGGGACAUAUGCUUCAUUCAGUGUUUUCAGGAGCAUUUUCUGGUGUUCAUCCGAACUCAACAAUAGAGACAAGAGUGAGACCUGGGAAGGAGUCUUCCGGAGUGGUCAACUAUUGCACAUUAUGAAGUUUUCAUAUUUCUAAAGAAAUCUUCUACUUCCCCAUUGCUUACAGGCUUCUUGGAUGGCAACCGUUUAUCCCUAUUCAGUUUGGACUUCUUUAGCCUUUCUGGGUUAUGGUACUUCCCAGACUGAUUCAUUUCAUUCACUUCUCCCAUGACCUCUUUCCCUUUGUAUGUAAUCACAGCUCUGUUGUAGUUCCAGGGGACUGCGGUGGGAUCUUUCAUAGGACUCUGUGGUGCGCGACUGAUAACCACGGGCUUAGUCAGUCUUGGUUAAAUUAUCGGCCCCCGCGCUACAUAGGUCCCUUUUUUCACAUACAAUCUUGGUACAUUCAGCGUAGUCUUCCUUUCCUCGAAUUUCUUGGGAGUGUUGAGGAUGAGCUGUUCUUUUCUCGGAACCUUGGGAACAUAGAGAACCACGUUCUUAGAAGGUUCUUCCCCGGUCUUUGUUUCAAUAGCUUGAGGAACCGGGAUGACUUUCUUCUCGGUUUUGGCCUGUUUCACCGCUAUUUUGGGUCUUGCCUCUGAAUCGGCGAUAGCAAUAAUCGCCUUCAAUGCUGGAUCAAACUCUUCAUCAUCACAAAUCAUUCCAAUGACUGGACCAUUAUUGUGAGCUGGUAAUGGAUUGUUAGUCACAUUAGGGAUCUCUUCGUCCCUUAGCAUAAUUUGUUUUUCUUCUAUCAAGCUUUCAACCGCCCUUUUGAGGGUCCAACGGUCUUAUGUAUUAUGGCCUUCUACUCCUGAAUGGUAAGCACAUCUGGUUCUGGCCCUGUAUGAUGGGGACUCGUGAUUCUGGCGGUUGGGAGGCACAUGUUGCAAUAGACCCAGUUGGAUUAACUUUUGAAGCAAACUGGAAUAAAAUUUACCAAUAUAGGUGAAAUCGGUUCUCCUGGGAGGCUCACGAGGGCGUGGAUAAUAUUGAUGUGUGUUGUGUGGUAGACGGGGGUUAUACGAGGCUUGGUAGGGAUGGUUAUUUCUAGGAAGUAGAGCUCGAACUUUGUUGUUAUGGUCGUACGUAAGGUUGGGCAUUUAUCACCGCAUAGUAAGGCGGUGCCACGGCAUAGGCUACAUCUUGGUGUGGAUAAUAGUGUUGUGGGGUUCUUGGCGGAAUGUAAGAGUGAUCACAUGAUCGGCGGGGCCCUCUUGAAUCUGAAGCCAUCAUGGCUCCCUCUUCCCUCUUUUUACGAUCAACCAAACCCCCUGAACCGUUCUGGAUGGCUUGGUAGGUAGUUUCAAGGCAGCUUGACUCAAUAUCAGGCUAGUUUUCAGGCGUUCUCUAUCAUUUCCCCGAUUUUGAUUGCCUCAGAAAAUGGUUUUCCCAUAGCGGACAUCAUAUUCUAAAAAUAAUCAGCCUCUUGGGCCUGCAAGAAGACUGUAACCAUUUUCGUCUCGUCAAUAGGCGGUUUUACUCGGGCGGCCUGCUUGCGCCAUUUGAUAGCAUACUCGCGAAACCUUUCCGCGGUUUUCUUCUUCAAGUUAGACAUGGAGUUUCUGUCUUGAGCUAUGUUGACGUUGUACUAGAAUUGUCUGACAAAAUCUCGGGCUAAAUCAUCCCAUAUGUGCCAGUGGGAGAUUUCCUGAUCCAUAUACCAUUUCGAGAUGAUUUCUGUCAGGCUUUCUCCGAAAUAGGCCAUCAACAACUCUUCUUUCCCACUAGCCCCACGUAGCUGAUUGCAGUAUAUUUUUAGAUGAGCAAUUGGAUCUCUGUGCCCAUCAUACUUCUCGAACUUUGGCAUUUUGAAGCCGGCAGGUAGAUGAACAUUUGGGAACAUGCACAAAUAUGAAUAGGAAAUACUUUUUUGGCCACUCAGGCCUUGCAUGUUCUUCAAGCUUUGUUCUAAGCAUCACAUCUUCCGAGCCAUUGCUUCCUGCUCGUAGCUCCUAACUGCUCUUUCUUGUUCAAUUGGGGACUCAUAUUGUGCGUGUUGAGCGUAUGAGUCUGGAGUAACAUGAAUUAUGUCCGGCUGAAAUUGCGGGCCUUGGAAGGUGAAUGUUGAAGGCUCAAAGUAUGGCCUGGGCAUGCUUGGUUGUGCCAUGAUAAAGACCGGUGGUGCAGAGAAUAAUGUUGACAGUGCUCCAUAGAAUGGAUCUUGGGGGCGGACCACAGAAGGCAUACCUGUAGCUCUUUUCUUUCAUUCAUUUUUCAUAUCUUAAUUUUUCUUUUCUUUCUCUUUUGUUGUUUUUCGCUCUUUGUUUUUCUUGGUUGUUUUUGUCACUCUUUUCUUUCUUUUUCUUUCUUAUUUAUUUUUCUUUCUUCUCUUUUUUUCGCUCAGUUUAUUUAAUGGCAAUGAUCGAAUCCGAUGGGGAUUGCCUACUUAUCAUGACGCCGCACGAAUUAAGUCAUUACGUAGUUCAGGUAAAUAAAUGCAAUAAUGAAAGAAAAGAAAAUUUUUGGGGUUUUUCAAUAUGAAUAAAAAUCUUUCUGGUUUUUUCUAUUACAUAAACUCGAAGACACUGAUAACUGAAAAGGAAAAUAUACAGACUCAAAACAAAAUAACAAACAGACUUGACAUGGAUGACAUGACAAACAGAAUCGAUUAGGGUAAAAUAUAGACUCAAAAUUGAAAAAUCAAGAACAAAGAUGAGGCUUAAAUGUUAUUCCGAGAGCCCGAGUGGCUUCAGCUGGUCUUGGCGCAGGCUUUCUUGUAAGCUCUUCCUGAAGGAGCUCGAGGUCGGCCAUGAUCUGGCGAGCGAAAGAUAGUACCGAGUGGAAGAACAUAGCUCGAGUCAUAUUUUUACAUUCAUGGCAUUUUAUUGCCACGUAGUCGGCUAUUUCCUUGAUUCUAAUCUUGAUAGUGCCUUUCUCCUGGAGUAAUCACAUAAUCUGUUGCUCCCGAACUUCUACUAUUUGCAUGGCCUCGUUGUUUUGGUUUUGCAAUUGCACAGCGCUUUCUUCUAAUUGGUUAAUCAGUGCAUAACAAUGUUCUCUCUCGGCCCUAAAGUCUUUCAUUUGUUGACCCAUCUUGUUUUCAACAACGGCCAACUCUUUCCUUAAGAUCGCGACUUCUCUGUCAUAGCUUUGCUUCACCUGGUGGACUAGCCUUGUUUGUUCUUCUGCAUCUUUUGCCAACUUUGCUCGAGCUUUGCCAAAUCUUUCUCGGCCUUUGUCAGAUCAGCUGCAUAAUCAUGUAAUUUUUGCCUCAAGUUGCUUAUGAUUUUUUCGUCCCUCUCACUUCUUACCGGCGUCUCGGCGCCUAUCUUCAUUUCCCGAAGCUGAGCUCGGAGGGCUUCAUUUUCCUGGGCCAACCUUUUAUUUACCCCCUCAUCUUCAACGGUUUGCAACCCACUUUCGAAUUUGAUGGUUCUGACUUGAUGUUCUAGCUUGCUGAUGGUGGUCCGGUACUCCUUCUCUUUGGCCAACCAAGCCCACUGUUCUUGUGCUGUAUCAAUAAAUUCCUAGACAUGGGGCCUUUUAGUCGGCCUUUCAGAUUCGUCAUUUGUUGUGAUUCUCUUUCCGUACCAAGAGAUGUACCCAGGUAGAACCUCGCUUUGGACAAAUCUUAUACUCGGGUAUUUUCCCCCAAAUACUGGCACUCGCUCCAAUUUUGACAGACCACGUCUUCGGGGAAUUGAGCAUCAAAGCGAAUUUCAACCACAUAAGUACUGAGGUCCACAUCCUUGAGAACUUUCUGACAUCUUCUAAGUUGUCUCAAAACCCGGUAUGGGGAAUAUGGCUGGAUGUUACGGAGACCCACCAGAAGGAAGUAAGGACGUGUGGCAGGCAUAUGAAUAAUCUCAUUGACAAGGAGCCAACCUAAUGUCCAUUCUAUCUUAUCUGCGGUCAAACCCUGAAGGCGAGUGAUCCAAUUUCUGACUCCCUCCGGCAUUACGAAUCAUAUCACCCGCGUACCAAAGUCUUCAAUGCAGUUUUUCCAGGUAGAACCAUAAUUCAUAUAUCGGGGAUGGUGACAAAGGUGUUCGAUCAUCCAUAUUUGUAAUAACGUAUUGCACCCCUCGAAAAACCUGACUCCGGCCUUACAGGAUGUGAGGGCUCGGAAUAUAUCUGAUACGAUCAUGGAUGCGAGGGUACUCUUCGCCUAAGUAGUCAAAACAUGGAAAAUUCCGGCUACACGCAAGUCAAUGUGUCCGUCCUCCCUCGGAAACACCAAAAGGCCUAAAAUGCCACCAUGAAGGCGAAGAAUUUAUGCAUCUCCCACUUUGACCUGUUGCCUUUACUACAGAGCCCAUUUUUUGGGUUUUCGAAUCCUCCUAAAUGCCCGUACCACUGGUAUAUGAAGUGAAAAGUGGAAGCUCCACGUGCCAAACUUUUCUGUUUUGACAUGUCUACUUAUUUACACUAAGUCUAGAAACUUGUGGGGAAUGAUGGUCCUUGGAGACACCAGGUACUUGUGUCUCAAUCCUUCCAUACUCCCGGCAUAGCCUGACAUUUCUUCCAGAGUGGGUGUAAGCUCGAAGUCUGAGAAGUAAAAAACAUUGUGGGCUGGGUCCCAAAAUGACACUAGUGCCUCUAUCAGAUCACUUCUGGGUUGAAUCUUUAAUAGUCCGGUGAGCGCCCCAAGUAUUGAUUGACCCUGUCUCGUCCUUGUUUUUCCAAAUCUUCCCACCACAUGUGGACAGUGGAAUCUGAUCCAUAGGGCUCAUUCUGCACAUUUUUAAAUUAGGGUGACUGGGUUAAAAUAUGUGAAUUAUUUUAAGAACUGACCAUGAAGAGAUUAAUUUUGCAAAAUCCAACUUAAAACAAUUCACGGCUACUUUUGCAAAUACGGCCCUUCAGCACUUCGGAAGGGAAGAUUUUAGGGCUGUGCUUGCUAAGUGGCCUAAAAAUUGAAAAAAAAAACAUAGGCGGCUAUUCUUCCAAAUACGGCAUUUCGGCGUCCCGUCGGGACAUUUAUGGCUAUUUGGACAAAAACGACAUCACCUGAUUUUAUUUAUUACAAAAUGACAACAUUUUAUAUUUUUAGUUAUUUUUGCAAAAACGGGGCUGAACCUGAGGUUCACAACAAGAAAGAACUAAUUUACAAUUAAUGAUGCUAUUACUUGAGAAUAUUUUGGUUUGGGCAGGCAGAUGUGAUAAACUUGUAUGUAAUAUCAGUUUUUGGUGUUAUGUUCAUGUCUAUAGGUAAGGAGAUUGCCUCCAUUCUCUGUCCAAAUUAUUUUUUGCAGUUGUACAAUAGAUUGGCCUUAGUCAACCUACACUAUGUAAUCGAGGCUGAGGUUUAUGUCCUCCUCCGUAUAAUUAUUAUUUUUGGAAUACACACGUUGGAGUCAUGCCUAACUCCUCCAUCUUAAUGAUGAACUUUUGAAGGGAAAAAAAAUAUUUUGGAAGUACUAAGUACACAACUAAAAACAAAAAAAGAAAAAGAAACCACAUAUAUGUUGGAGUGACGUGCUUUCCAACGUCACACGGUUGAACAUAAUGUAAUUGUACUCUCUUUCUAUCAUUUUAUUUAUCGGUUAGAAUUUUAGUACGUUUAUUUAAAAAAUUACUCUAACUUGUUCACUUUAAUUUUUUUGAUUGUAUUCAUAUAUAUAUUAAGAAAUUCACUUUAAGUAAUUUUUUAAUAUUUUUUUCUGGUCCACAAUAUUUGAUUAUUUUUUCCAAAGUUACCCUUGGAAUAAAGAACUAGGAGUAUUUAUUGUAAUUCCAAUGAACAAAUUAAGGUUAAUAUGGUCAAUUACAUUGUUUAUUAAUGUUAAAAGGUGAAUUCCUUAAUUUGUGUGAAAACAGCAAUAAAAAGAGUCACUUAAAGUGGACUGAAGAGAGUAUUAAUUAAUAAUAAAAUUGACUAUAUUAACCUUAAUUUGUUCAUUAAAAAUAUAACAAAUACCCCUAGGUUAUUUACUCCAAUAGUAACUUUGAAAAAGAGAAGUUCAUUCCUUCUUGAUAUUUAAAAAAAAUCAAAUAGUAUGGAUCACAAAAAGAGACCAAAAAAUCAAAUAAAGUCAAUCCGGGGGAAUAUUUAAUAACAUUGUUAUAUUAAUUAUAGAAGUUAUUUGACUAAAUUAUUAUUUAAAUUUUCCUCGUAUUUUUUUAAAAAAUGUAUAUAGAUCUAUUGAAACAAGCAUGGAUUUUGAUAAAAAUUGAAGUCUUCUUCAUUUUCUAAUGCGACGCUUUGAAUUAAAUUGAUUUGUUGCCCAUUUCGAAAUACACGCUACUCUUGAGGUCGAAUGCCAAAAAAUUCUAUUUACAAUCAUAGCCCUACAUUCUUUUCUCUUUCUAAUAACAACUAUAUAUGUUUCUUGGAAAAAAUGAUCAGUUGGAACCCCAACAGCUCAAGUACAUAACUUUCCUCAAAGAUUCUUCAGAUUGUUUUGCCUUGUCGCUCCUUGCAAUCAGUGAGGAAGAAGAAGUAGAAAGCUUCUAAGCUUGAGAGUAAGAUCUCAUGUUAUUCUUUGUGUGCUGAACAACGGACCUCAAAGGGUAAUUCCACCUACAGAAACCUUGAUCUUUUAAAGCUUCCACUGCUCCAACACUGGCUGCUACU
rnacentral:lncRNA from 1 species